AUGUUUAAAUUUUGAUUUUAAAAUAAUUAUUGUUCAGAUGUUCCGAGAGAGGAAUCUACCCGAAUGUAUGCAUGGACACAACAGGAGUUGCUCAAGAAGUUGAGAAAAUUCUUCAGGACAACAAGUCUCCAGGACAUGAUCGCUAUCCUGAGUGUUGAUCAUGAGUUGUCUGAGGAGGACAAGCUGAAGGUCACCAGGGCCGGAGAUCGAGAGAUUCCUCUCAUACCUUUCCAGACAGAACUGGGAAAUUUGGAGUCAGAAUACAGAAUGAAGUUCAGAUAACAUUGCCGUCUAUGAAUAAUACUGUUGUUCAGUGUUCACACUGAUCUAGAGGCCUCACGCUAUCAAGCAAAAAUCUAUGAGAAUUUUGCUAAUUCUUCUUAAGUACCAAAGUUAACAUCUAUUGAAGAGACUUUUUAUAAGCAGGCUGAAUCGAUGAAUGUGUGCAGUGAUUAGAAAAGAAAUCUUCAAAAGAUAUUAAAUCUCAAUAGACUCAUAGAAGCAAGAUUCUGUAACAAAAGAAACCAAGUGAAAAAUAAUUUAUAUCGAGUUUUAAUUUGUGUUUGAAUUACGUUUGUUUCUAAUCAAUUUAAGUUAUUUUAAUAUAAAAUAUUUUAAAGCAACAA
rnacentral:lncRNA from 1 species